GCGUGUUGAACACUGCCAGGGACAGCGACUCCACCACCUCCCUGGGCAGCCAUUCCAGUGCCUGACCACUCUGAAAAAACAAGUUCUUUCUUACAUCUAAUCUCAACCUCCUCUGAUACAACUUGCAGCCAUUACCCCGUGUCCUGCUCGUUGCUUUUUAAAAGUAAGUAGCUCUUUUCUGUUGUUUCUACUGAUGCUGUACCUGGGCUCUUUUUGUUUUCCUAGACCUGCAGUCUUUACUAUUCUCUUAUUAGCAUCCCAUUGUAGUUGCUUUAAAAAUUGUUUUAUAAUGAUUUAAAUUCAUCUAAUUUAAACUUUGUUGUCUAAGGUUUAUCUUUUUUGUUUGUUUGUUUAUCAUGUGCUAGGUUAGUCUAUCAGUUCAUAAGUUGUCUCAAAAUGAAAGUUCUUGAAGGAAAAAAACAGGAGUCUACGUGAUUCUAUACUGCCAUGGAAAAAAAACUUAAGGCAAUGAAGUUCUAGUUUUCAUACAACACAACAAAGGAAUUAGGCCUCUCCACCUUAAUAAUGCAAUUAUAAGAGAUAAUCCUAGAACCAUAGGAUGAUUUGGGUUGGAAGAGAUCUUUCAAGAUGAUCUGAAGAUGAUCUGGUUGCAACCUCCUGCUCCAGGCAGGGAUGCGUCCCUCCAGACCAGGCUGCUCACAGCCCCAUCCAGCCUGGCCUUGGAUGCUUCCAAGGAGGGGGCCAUAAUGAAGACUGCCAAGUGUAAGAUUCUCUUUUACUCCUUCCAGUCCUUGAACUAGUACAAAAAAAGCAUAGAAGACCAGUCAAUGUUACGUCUAUCAUCCUAUGAUCUUGAUUUAUGACAAUAAGAGAGCUAAGACCCACUGUGUAGUUUAAGAACAGUGUGUCGUGUUCUGAAGUGUGCUGACUACCUGACCUUCAUGCUCAAACUGAAAAGCAGCAUGCAGGCUACAAGCAGGGAGCUUUUUGUAGCCACAAGUGUUCUCAGUGUUCUUAAGCAAGGCACAAAACUAGCCAUCCUGUUAAGCUGCAUGACUGAAAUGAAGGAAGUUUUCAAAAAAGCAAACCUGCUGAAUAGUAGCUGGAGUGCAAAAUUAUUAUGUCAAAAGCUUUUGCCCUUAAUUGUAUUACUCACUUCUUGCAUUGAAAUGGUGCAGUGGUUGCCUUGAGCAACUUCAUUCUGCUGCCCAAAGUCAGGGUUGUCCACUGUACUGUUAACAUGGGUUUUGGCAUUGAUGCAGCGAGUUUGCAAGCAACAAAUACACAAUCUAGACUCAGUAGGUAAAGCAAACGAGCUUUAUCUGUUUAGUAUGUGCUUUUGCCUGGAUGGGUUUUCAUGUAAGUUGAGAAAGAAAUACAAUUACUUUCCCAUACAACAUGUAGACUUGAAGAACAAAUUCAUUUUCUCCAGUUGGUUUUUGGAACAUUUCUCAUGAAGUUCUGCAAGGCAUUCUAAAUGCAAAUGGCUAUUUACUGUCUCAACUCUUCUCCCGAUUCACUGCAGUGCAUAUCAUAAAAUGAUCUACCUUGUAGCACUUGAUUCUGGAAGUCGCCGCUCCUCCUAACUAAGCAACCUGCUGAAAGCACUGCAGUCCCUAACAGGACCAAGAUGUAAUUGUAGAAGAAACAUUAGCAAAUG